rnacentral:lncRNA from 1 species
CGACGCCUAUCAUUCGGUCGAGAACCAACCAACGCUCCGGAUUGCUGCUGGCCCACCUCUGCUUCUUCUUUCCCCUCCCCGGACUCUCCUUCCUCCUCCAUCCACUGCAUUCAACCCAAGUCCCGCUCCGAGUUCCAAGCACAAGCUGCAAAGGCGACUCUAUCACCAUAGCUACCUCAUGGCGCUUGCCAUGCCGCUGAUCACCUCCCCUGAGCUAUUACUCCUGCGGUGGCAACAAGACAAGACGGCCACUACUUGCCGGCCACCAAGCUCGGCGGCGUCCUCGACGCCCACACGAACAGGCCAUGAGUUAUGCACCCAACCAUCUCACCCAGCAGCGUGCUCUUGGCCAUGGGCAGAUUGAUUGACAUCAGAAGCUCCAAGGAACUUGGCCAUGGUCAGUACUGGAACAAUCGAACAACACACCUGCUGUUUUUAUCUGCCGUGAUUUACUUUUGGAGUUUUGGUGCUGUGGAUAGAUGAGGAAGCCUGGAGCCAAAUCGCCGUGGCAUAGAGGAGGAAGAAGAGUCUUGAGAGGGCAAGGAAGAAGGGGUAGGCCAGCAAUCAAUCUGGAGCAUUGGUUCAUUCUUGGACGGCAGAUGUUGGUGCUACCACUUAAGUUGCAGUAGCAAUCUAUUAAUCUACUUGGUGUAUCCAAUCAUGCAUAUAUACUCCCUGAACAAACGUUUACCAGCCACAGCCUCCUCCAAACUACUGUAGAAGAUAGUAGAGGUCUGCAGAUAAGCGAGUAACAAUGCCUGCUAGGGUUAGUCUAACUCUAGCUAGCUGCUCCCUCCAUUCUAAAUUAUAGUUCGUUUUGGUAAAUCUAGAUAUAUAAUUUUAGCUGUACAUCUAGAUAAACAUUAUAUCUUAAUACGUAGCAAAAGAUUUGCCAAAACGACGUACCAUUUGGAAAGAAGGGAGUAUAUAAUGAGAGGUAUGU